UCAUUUAUGCUCAUGUGCUGCCGCCGUCGUCUUCCAUUCUUGUUCAAUAAUGACGUCCGUUUCUUUCCGAGCAACAAGUUGUGAAGAUCUCUCUAUAAGUAUACCAUCGUCUUCUUCGUUUUCUUCCAACCUCAAAUUGAAUCUUUCUUCUUCUUCUGAUCUUCUUGUUCGGUUAGUUUCUUGUAAUAAGCAUCGACGUUUUGUUCAUCUUCACAUUUCUUCUGGGUCGUCAUUGCCUGCUUCAAACUCAGUUCUUAAGUUGGUUGCAGAAGACCUUGAUUUAGUUAUAUUUCAACCAUGAGUUCUGGCAUUCCAACAGCGUAUCCCCAAGCAACGUCAACAAAUGCGCCAAUAGUGACUCCUCCACCAGUUGGUUAUCCCACCAAUAAUGACACUUCACCAAACCCUCAGUCAGCUUCUUUUCAAACCCAGUCCAAGGGUGGUGGCUUUGAGAAAGGAUGUCAGUCCUUUUUAUGCUGUCUCUAUCGUGUCUUAUGCUGUGCUCUUGGUGGUGAUGGUGGGGAAUAAUGAUUUGCCAACGUAAGCUCAGAUGCAUUGUUGCUGUUGUCUUGUGGAGCAGUUCUCUGGUUGCUGUUGAUGUUGUUGAUUUUCCAAAAGUUCUGUGAGAACAACUUUGUUGUUGCUUUCAUCACCUAGUUAUGUAUUGUUGUAACUAAAGGUUACCUGCCCAUGUCAUGCAAGUGUGUAGAAACUGCUGGUCUUAGGGACAAAUGAAUUAGGCCCGUUACAUAUUGUUGUGUAGUAUGUUUAGGCCUUUUGUAUCUGAGCUUAUUGUAUAUUGUGGUUUCCUUGUUAUUUCUGUUGCAUUGAGGAUCAUAUAAGAGCCCAUUUGAAUUGUAAUUGUGGUAUAGAUUUUCCAAUAAUGAGAAUGUGAACUAUUCCGUA